UNGCUCUAGGUACCUGCUCACAGAGCCCCUGC
rnacentral:piRNA from 1 species